rnacentral:lncRNA from 1 species
GCAUGGGAGAGCAGAGCUGGGAGGUUACAGGAGAGCCUGGAGAGGACAGAGGGGACGGCCUCGGCAUGGCAGCUGCACCCACAGAGCAGGCAGUACCACAUGGCACCUAUCGAGUGCUGCCAGAUGCCCAGUGACUGAAGCAGGGCUAGUGGGGCGAUCUGUAGGCAGGAUGUCCAUGGGGUCCUGGGUCUUGAAGUGAAGAACAUGCUUCUAGACUGUUCUUCACUGCCCUGUUCAGCUUUCCCCUGUCCAAGACGCCGGCUCCCAACAGGUCGGGGGGUGACCUGGAAUGGCGUGGAAAUCCUCACCAGCUGGAAGAUGGUGGAGUUGGGUCCAACCCAGCAGCCACCCCCUCCACCAUGAAGUGGCAGGAGGCAGGCCCUCCAUUCCCCCGGUCCUUGCCAUGCCCCAUGAGGGACGCAGAGGUGGGACACUGUCCCUACUGCAUGGAUGAGAAACCCAAGCCCCAGGGCCCGCCUCGGGCCACACAGCCGGCGGGGACAGAAGAGGCGCCCAGUGCCAUUCUGGGUGACAGGUAACCGCAGGGCCCAGCCCUUCCUGGAUCCACUUCUCGGCUCCUGGCCUGGGCAGUGCAGAUCCCCCUGCAGAGUGCAUCCCUCCCCACGCCUGACAGUGUCUGUGCCCAUGACACCUCAGGGAAGCCCUCCCUGGCUCCUGUCCUCCCCCUCUCAGCCCUGCUGGCUCCUCCUGCCGGCACAACUGUGCUUGUCUCCUGUCUCCCUGCAUGGUGGGAAUGUGUCCCUGGCGCCUGGAACGUGCCCGGCCCAUCGUGGCACCUAGGAGGUGUCUGCAGAGCCAGUCAAGGUUGCAGAGGGGGAGCUGCUAGGAGCUCCUGGCCCCUCCUCUUUCCCCCGAAAUGUCUGCCAG